AUUGAACGCUGGCGGCAUGCUUUACACAUGCAAGUCGAACGGCAGCGCGGGCUUCGGCCUGGCGGCGAGUGGCGAACGGGUGAGUAAUACAUCGGAACGUGCCCAGUAGUGGGGGAUAGCUCGGCGAAAGCCGGAUUAAUACCGCAUACGACCUGAGGGUGAAAGCGGGGGAUCUUCGGACCUCGCGCUAUUGGAGCGGCCGAUGGCAGAUUAGCAAGUUGGUGGGGUAAAGGCCUACCAAGGCGACGAUCUGUAGCUGGUCUGAGAGGACGACCAGCCACACUGGGACUGAGACACGGCCCAGACUCCUACGGGAGGCAGCAGUGGGGAAUUUUGGACAAUGGGCGAAAGCCUGAUCCAGCAAUGCCGCGUGUGUGAUGAAGGCCUUCGGGUUGUAAAGCACUUUUGGCGGGAACGAAAAGGACUGUGCCAAUACCACGGUUCGAUGACGGUACCCGCAGAAUAAGCACCGGCUAACUACGUG
rnacentral:rRNA from 1 species